ensembl:snRNA U6 U6 spliceosomal RNA
GUUCACUUCAGCAGCACGUACACUAAAAUUGGAACGAUACAGAGAAGAUCAGCAUGGCCCCUGCACAAGGAUGACACACAAACUCGUGAAGCAUUCCGUAUUUUU